CAGAGAUCAACACAGUAGCAGGCUGGUAGUUCUUUACAAAUAUCAACUGCCACUAAUAAGAGUUCUCCCAAACAAAUAAGAUUAAAACGUCUUAGAGCCAGAUGAAUUGACUGAAGGAACAUGUUCCCCCAGUGUUUCUCAGACCAGAUUAUCUUAAAAGGACUAGAUGCCUUUGCCACAAGAGCCUAACCAAAAAGGUGCACUGAAGCCUCUUCUUUAGAGCUGUGGAUGUAAG
rnacentral:lncRNA from 1 species